AAUCUAUGACAAAGGAGGCAAGAAGAAUGGAGAAAAGAUAGUCUCUUCAGUAAGUGGUGCUGGGAAAACUGGAUAGCUACAUGGAAAAAAAAAUGAGAUUAGAACAUUUCCUCACACUAUAUACAAAAUAAACUCAAAACAGAGAAAAGACCUAAAUGCAAGACUGGAAACUAUAGAAUUCCUAGGAAAAAACCUAGGUAGAACACUCUUUGACAUAAAUUGUAAUAAUAUUUUUUGGGAUCUGUCUCCUAAGACAAAAGAAAUAAAAGCAAAAAUUAACAAAUGGAGCCUAAUUUUACUUAAAAACUUUUGUACAAACCUUAGACAAAAUGAAAUGGGAGAAAAUAUUUGCAAAUGAUAUGACUGGUAAGGAGUUAAUAUCAAAAAAGUUAAUUUUGGAGUUAAUAUCCAAAAAUAUACAAAUAUCUCAUACAACUUAGUAUUAAGCAAACAACUUGCUCAAAAAAUAAGCAGAAGACCUGUUAGAUAUUUUUCUGAAGAAGUUAAACAGAUGGGCAACAUGUACAUGAAAAGACACUUAACAUUGUUAAUCAUCAGAGAAAUGAAACUCAAAACCACAAUGAGAUAUUAACUCACAUCUGUCAAAAUGGCUGUUCUCAGCAAAACUACAGCUAGCAAAUACUGGUGAUGAUGUGGAGAAAAGGUAACCCUGGUAUGUGGUUGCUGGGAAUGUAAAUUGGUGUGGCCACUGUGAAAACAGUGUGGGGUUUCCUAAAAAAAAAAAACAAACUAAAAUAGAACUACUAUAUUAUCCAUCAAUUCUACUUCUAAGUAUAAUACAAAGACAAUGAAAACACUAGUUUGAAAAGAUACGUGCACUCCAGUGUUCAUAACAGCAUUAUUUCAGUUGCCAAGAUAUGGAAGCAUUAUAAGUGUCCAAUAACAGAGGAAUGGAUCAAGAAGAUGUGGUACACACACACACACACACACACACACACACGCAUACACACACACACAGAGGAAUACCACUUAGCCAUAAAAAGAAAUGAAGAUUUUACCAUUUGCAAGAACAUGGAUGGAACAGGAGUGUAUUAUGCUUAGUAAUUUAAAUCAGAUAAAGAUAAAUAUUGUAUAUUAUUUCUUAUAUAUGGAAUCUAAAAAAACAAACUAGGAAAUAUAACAGAUACAGAGGACAAACUAGUCAUUACCAGUAGGGAGAGUGAAAGGGGGAGAGAAAAGAUGGAGGAUUAAGAGGUACAGAAUACAAGGUAUAAAAUAAAUACAUUGGAUAUUGUACAGCAUAGGGAAUAUACCCAAUAUUUUAUAAUAACUAUAAAUGGAGUAGAAGCUGUAAAAAUUUGCAUCACUAAGUUGUACACCUGAAACUAAUAUUUUUUUUCUUUCAACAUCAACUUCACUGAGGUACACUGACAUUAAAAAAUGCACAAAUUUUAAAUGCAUAGUUGACUAAGUUUUGACAUGUUUGUGUGCCGGUGUAGCUAGUACCAUGGUUGACAUACAGAACAUUUCCAUCACCCCAAAAAGUUUGCUUGUGCCCAUUUGAACUUUCUCUUUCUCCAGGUAACUACUGAUUUGAUUUCUUCUUCUUUUUUUUUUUUUUUUUUUUUUGUUCUUUUAGGGCUGCACUUGCGGCAUAUGAAGUUUCCCAGGCUAGGGGGUCAAAUCAUAGCUGCUGUUGCUGGCCUAUGCCACAGUCACAGCAAUGCCAGAUCUGAGCCGGAAAUGCUGGAUCCUUAACCCACUGAACAAGGCCAGGGAUUGAACCUGGAUUCUCAGGGAUACUAGUCAGAUUCGUUUCUGCUGAGCCACUAUGGGAACUCCUGAUUUCUAUCAUCAUAGAUGUGUCUUUUCUGGAACUAUCCUGCAAAUGAACCUUACGAAUAAAUGAUGUCUGGCUUGUUUUGCUCAAUUCUCAUUUGAGAGUCAUCAUUUUUGUUAUAUAUAACACUAGUAUCAGUAGCAGAACCUUUUUUAAAAAAAGUGUUUCAUUCUGUCAAAAUGAUCUUAUACACACGUGAUAAAUCAAUAUUAUGUAUACUUUGAAACAUGUUUUUAUUUAUUUUUUUAACAUAGACCAACUCCUAGGUUGAGAAUACUGCUAAAUGCUGACCUAUUUGAGUAGUUACGAGUAUUUUGUAAUUGUGGGGGCUGUGUGGGGAAGCGGUGAGAUCGUGGCCAUAAUGAUAGCCCUGUCACUCACCCUAUCACUCAUUUGAAAUCUGAGCAAGUUCUAUAGGGCUGGCUUUCUCCAUUUGUACUAGCCUUUGCUACACUAGCCUCCUACACCCACUAUGGGACUGACACACUCGUCUGGGGUAUGGUCACUGAGCUGUGGAGCCAGCAGAGGGAGCAGGAGUCAACAAAAAUGAAAGAACUUUGUCAGCACCUUGAACCAGCCUCUGUGAUUCGCCAUCUUCGGCACAGGCCUGUUCUAGAGCUCAGCAAGAUCUGUGGUGCACCAGUUUUUAAAGUGACUUAUGGCUCUGGAUAUGAUUUCUUAACGGUAUUUCUCUGACUAGGUGAGAUUGUAGUUUUUAUAAAAAAUUUUAAAUAUAAGAGAUUUUAUUGCAAAUGCAAGGGGGCUAAACAAAUAAGAGACCUCUGUGUGAUUUUACAAGCAAAUAAGAUUCUCAUUUAAAACUUAUGUAAAGUAACAUCUAAAACACUAUAAUUUAAUGAUUGUUAUCCUAAAGAAUUGUAAAAAAAAAUGUUAAAAGUAGACUCUUCAGAGUUUACUCUUC
rnacentral:lncRNA from 1 species